rnacentral:rRNA from 1 species
UACGUAGGGUGCAAGCGUUGUCCGGAAUCACUGGGCGUAAAGGGCGCGUAGGCGGCUUGAUAAGCGUGCGGUGAAAGCCCGGGGCUCAACCCCGGGUCGGCCGUGCGAACUGUCGAGCUGGAGCACUGUAGAGGCAGGUGGAAUUCCGGGUGUAGCGGUGGAAUGCGUAGAGAUCCGGAGGAACACCAGUGGCGAAGGCGGCGAUCUGGGAAGAUACUGACGCUGAGGUGCGAAAGCGUGGGGAGAAACAGG